CCUACGGGGGGCAGCAGUGGGGAAUAUUGCACAAUGGGGGAAACCCUGAUGCAGCGACGCCGCGUGAGUGAAGAAGUAUUUCGGUAUGUAAAGCUCUAUCAGCAGGGAAGAAAAUGACGGUACCUGACUAAGAAGCCCCGGCUAACUACGUGCCAGCAGCCGCGGUAAUACGUAGGGGGCAAGCGUUGUCCGGAAUCAUUGGGCGUAAAGAGUUCGUAGGCGGUAUGUUAAGUCUGGUGUUAAAUGCAGAAGCUCAACUUCUGUUCGGCACUGGAUACUGGCAAACUAGAAUGCGGUAGAGGUAA
rnacentral:rRNA from 1 species